UCUGGUGACAAUAGCGAAGAGGUCACACCUGUUCCCAUACCGAACACAGAAGUUAAGCUCUUCAGCGCCGAUGGUAGUUGGUUUUUGCCUGCGAGAGUAGGACGUCGCCAAGC
rnacentral:rRNA from 1 species